rnacentral:rRNA from 1 species
CCUACGGGCGGCUGCAGUGGGGAAUAUUGCACAAUGGGGGAAACCCUGAUGCAGCGACGCCGCGUGAGUGAAGAAGUAUUUCGGUAUGUAAAGCUCUAUCAGCAGGGACGAGACACGACGGUUCCUGACUACGAAGCGCCGGCUAACUACGUGCCAGCAGCCGCGGUAAUCCGGAGGGGGCAAGCGUUAUCCGGAAUCACUGGGUGUAAAGGGAGCGUGGACGGCUGAGCAAGUCUGAAGUGAAAGGCGGGGGCUCAACUCCCGGACUGCUUUGGAAACUGGACGGCUGGAGUGCAGGAGAGGUAAGUGGAAUUCCUAGUGUAGCGGUGAAAUGCGUAGAUAUUAGGAGGAACACCAGUGGCGAAGGCGGCUUACUGGACUGUAACUGACGUUGAGGCUCGAAAGCGUGGGGAGCAAACAGGAUUAGAUACCCUGGUAGUC